rnacentral:rRNA from 1 species
CAGGAAGAAGCUUGCUUCUUUGCUGACGAGUGGCGGACGGGUGAGUAAUGUCUGGGAAACUGCCUGAUGGAGGGGGAUAACUACUGGAAACGGUAGCUAAUACCGCAUAACGUCGCAAGACCAAAGAGGGGGACCUUCGGGCCUCUCGCCAUCGGAUGUGCCCAGAUGGGAUUAGCUAGUAGGUGGGGUAACGGCUCACCUAGGCGACGAUCCCUAGCUGGUCUGAGAGGAUGACCAGCCACACUGGAACUGAGACACGGUCCAGACUCCUACGGGAGGCAGCAGUGGGGAAUAUUGCACAAUGGGCGCAAGCCUGAUGCAGCCAUGCCGCGUGUAUGAAGAAGGCCUUCGGGUUGUAAAGUACUUUCAGCGGGGAGGAAGGGAGUAAAGUUAAUACCUUUGCUCAUUGACGUUACCCGCAGAAGAAGCACCGGCUAACUCCGUGCCAGCAGCCGCGGUAAUACGGAGGGUGCAAGCGUUAAUCGGAAUUACUGGGCGUAAAGCGCACGCAGGCGGUUUGUUAAGUCAGAUGUGAAAUCCCCGGGCUCAACCUGGGAACUGCAUCUGAUACUGGCAAGCUUGAGUCUCGUAGAGGGGGGUAGAAUUCCAGGUGUAGCGGUGAAAUGCGUAGAGAUCUGGAGGAAUACCGGUGGCGAAGGCGGCCCCCUGGA